rnacentral:rRNA from 1 species
UACGUAGGUGGCAAGCGUUGUCCGGAAUUAUUGGGCGUAAAGCGCGCGCAGGCGGUUCUUUAAGUCUGAUGUGAAAGCCCACGGCUCAACCGUGGAGGGUCAUUGGAAACUGGGGAACUUGAGUGCAGAAGAGAAGAGCGGAAUUCCACGUGUAGCGGUGAAAUGCGUAGAGAUGUGGAGGAACACCAGUGGCGAAGGCGGCUCUUUGGUCUGUAACUGACGCUGAGGCGCGAAAGCGUGGGGAGCAAACAGG